UACGAGGGGUGCAAGCGUUGUUCGGAAUCACUGGGCGUAAAGCGCACGUAGGCGGAUUCGUAAGUCAGAUGUGAAAGCCCCGGGCUUAACCUGGGAAUUGCAUUUGAAACUGCGAACCUUGAAUGCUUGAGAGGAUGACGGAAUUCCUGGUGUAGAAGUGAAAUUCGUAGAUAUCAGGAGGAACACCGGAGGCGAAGGCGGUUAUCUGGCGAUGCAUUGACGCUGAGGUGCGAAAGCGUGGGGAGCAAAC
rnacentral:rRNA from 1 species